GACGAACGCUGGCGGCGUGCUUAACACAUGCAAGUCGAACGGAAAGGCCCUGCUUUUGUGGGGUGCUCGAGUGGCGAACGGGUGAGUAACACGUGUGUAACCUGCCCUUGACUUUGGGAUAACUUCAGGAAACUGGGGCGAAUACCGGAUAGGAGCUCCUGCUGCAUGGGGGGGGUUGGAAAGUUUCGGCGGUUGGGGAUGGACUCGCGGCUUAUCAGCUUGUUGGUGGGGUAGUGGCUUACCAAGGCUUUGAAGGGUAGCCGGCCUGAGAGGGUGACCGGCCACAUUGGGACUGAGGGACGGCCCAGACUCCUACGGGAGGCAGCAGUGGGGAAUAUUGCACAAUGGGCGGAAGCCUGAUGCAGCAACGCCGCGUGCGGGAUAACGGCCUUCGGGUUGUAAACCGCUUUCGCCUGUGACGAAGCGUGAGUGACGGUAAUGGGUAAAGAAGCACCGGCUAACUACGUG
rnacentral:rRNA from 1 species